UACAGAGGUGGCAAGCGUUGUUCGGAAUUACUGGGCGUAAAGGGCGCGUAGGCGGCCAUCUAAGUCAGACGUGAAAUCCCCCGGCUUAACCUGGGAACUGCGUCUGAUACUGGGAGGCUUGAGUAUGGGAGAGGGAUGUAGAAUUCCAGGUGUAGUGGUGAAAUGCGUAGAUAUCUGGAGGAAUACCGGUGGCGAAGGCGGCAUCCUGGACCAUUACUGACGCUGAGGCGCGAAGGUCAGGGGAGCAAACGGG
rnacentral:rRNA from 1 species